rnacentral:tRNA from 1 species
GGGGAUUUAGCUCAGUGGUAAAAGCACCUGCCUGGCAAACAUGAGGCCGUGAGUCGAUCCCCA